AGAGUUUGAUCCUGGCUCAGGACGAACGCUAGCGACGUGCCUAAGAAAUGCAAGUCGAGCGGGGUUGAGGAGCUUGCUCCGAAAGCCUAGCGGCGAACGGUCGCGUAACACGUAAGCAACCUGCCCUGAAGUGGGGGAUAGCCCGCCGAAAGGCGGAUUAAUACCGCAUGUGAACACUCUCUCGCAUGUUUGAGUGUUUAAAGCAGCAAUGCGCUUCAGGAUGGGCUUGCGGCCUAUCAGCUAGUUGGUGGGGUAACGGCCUACCAAGGCGACGACGGGUAGCUGGUCUGAGAGGAUGGUCAGCCGGACUGGGACUGAGACACGGCCCAGACUCCUACGGGGGGCAGCAAUUAGGAAUCUUGCGCAAUGGGCGAAAGCCUGACGCAGCGACGUCGCGUGACCGAUGAAGUCCUUCGGGAUGUAAAGGUCUUUUUUGGGGGAAGAAGGAUGUGACGGUACCCCAAGAAUAAGCCCCGGCUAACUACGUGCCAGCAGCCGCGGUAAUACGUAGGGGGCGAGCGUUGUCCGAAUUCACUGGGCGUAAAGCGCGCGUAGGCGGGUUAUUAAGUUGGGGGUGAAAUCCCGAGGCUCAACCUCGGAACUGCCUCCAAAACUGGUAGCCUUGAGGUAUGGAGAGGGAAGUGGAAUUCCUGGUGUAGCGGUGAAAUGCGUAGAUAUCAGGAGGAACACCUGUGGCGAAGGCGGCUUCCUGGCCAUAUCCUGACGCUGAGGUGCGAAAGCUAGGGGAGCGAACGGGAUUAGAUACCCCGGUAGUCCUAGCCGUAAACGAUGGAUACUAGGUGUUAGAGGUAUCGACCCCUCUAGUGCCGCAGCUAACGCAUUAAGUAUCCCGCCUGGGGAGUACGACCGCAAGGUUGAAACUCAAAGGAAUUGACGG
rnacentral:rRNA from 1 species